CCUACGGGUGGCUGCAGUGGGGAAUAUUGGACAAUGGGCGAAAGCCUGAUCCAGCCAUGCCGCGUGUGUGAAGAAGGCCUUCGGGUUGUAAAGCACUUUCAGUGGGGAAGAAAGCCUUGGGGCUAAUACCCUCGAGGAAGGACAUCACCCACAGAAGAAGCACCGGCUAACUCCGUGCCAGCAGCCGCGUUAAUACGGAGGGUGCGAGCGUUAAUCGGAAUUACUGGGCGUAAAGCGCGCGUAGGCGGUCUGAUAAGCCGGUUGUGAAAGCCCCGGGCUCAACCUGGGAACGGCAUCCGGAACUGUCAGGCUAGAGUGCAGGAGAGGAAGGUAGAAUUCCCGGUGUAGCGGUGAAAUGCGUAGAGAUCGGGAGGAAUACCAGUGGCGAAGGCGGCCUUCUGGACUGACACUGACGCUGAGGUGCGAAAGCGUGGGUAGCAAACAGGAUUAGAUACCCGUGUAGUC
rnacentral:rRNA from 1 species